UGUCCAGGGAUGGAACCGAACCCACAGUGUUCCGCUUACCGGGCAGAUGCCAUGUCCACUAGGCUACCCUGGAC